rnacentral:rRNA from 1 species
CUACGGGACGCAGCAGUAAGGAAUAUUGCGCAAUGGAGGCAACUCUGACGCAGCCAUGCCGCGUGCAGGAAGAAGGCCUUAUGGGUCGUAAACUGCUUUUAUUUAGGAAUAAACCCCCGAACGUGUUCGGGGCUGAAGGUACUAAACGAAUAAGCACCGGCUAACUCCGUGCCAGCAGCCGCGGUAGUACGGAGGGUGCAAGCGUUAUCCGGAUUUAUUGGGUUUAAAGGGUGCGCAGGCGGGCUAUUAAGUCAGUGGUGAAAUCCCGGGGCUCAACUCCGGAACUGCCAUUGAUACUGAUAGUCUUGAGUUUGGUUGAAGUGGGCGGAAUGUAGCAUGUAGCGGUGAAAUGCAUAGAUAUGCUACAGAACACCAAUCGCGAAGGCAGCUCACUAAGCCAAAACUGACGCUCAUGCACGAAAGCGUGGGGAUCAAACAGGAUUAGAUACCCGGGUAGUC